rnacentral:rRNA from 1 species
AGAGUUUGAUCAUGGCUCAGGAUGAACGCUGGCGGCGUGCUUAACACAUGCAAGUCAAGGGGGCCCAGCAAUGGGCAACCGGCGAACGGGUGCGUAACACGUGAGCAACCUACCGAACUGUGGGGGAUAGCCGGCCUAACGGCCGAGUAAUACCGCAUACGCUCUCAGAGAGGCAUUUCUUUGAGAGGAAACCUACGGGACAGAUCGAGGGGCUCGCGGCCUAUCAGCUAGUUGGCGAGGUAACGGCUCACCAAGGCAACGACGGGUAGCUGGUCUGAGAGGAUGGCCAGCCACAUUGGGACUGAGAUACGGCCCAGACUCCUACGGGAGGCAGCAGUGGGGAAUCUUGCGCAAUGGCCUAACGGCUGACGCAGCGACGCCGCGUGUGGGAUGAAGCUCUUCGGAGUGUAAACCACUGUUGCCCGGGACGAACAGCUCGAUUAGUCGAGCCUGACGGUACCGGGUGAGGAAGCACCGGCUAACUCCGUGCCAGCAGCCGCGGUAAUUC